CCAAACCUGGUUGAUCCUGCCAGUAGUCAUAUGCUUGUCUCAAAGAUUAAGCCAUGCAUGUCUCAGUAUAAGCUUCUAUACGGCGAAACUGCGAAUGGCUUAUUAAAACAGUUGUAGUUUAUUUGAUGGUCAUUCAUUACAUGGAUAACCGUGGUAAUUCUAGAGCUAAUACAUGCGCCCAAACCCGACUUCGUG
rnacentral:rRNA from 1 species